GGCGAACGGGUGAGUAACACGUGAGUAACCUGCCCUUGGCUCUGGGAUAAGCGCUGGAAACGGCGUCUAAUACUGGAUAGGACUUCCUGCCGCAUGGUGGGGGGUGGAAAGAUUUAUCGGCCAUGGAUGGGCUCGCGGCCUAUCAGCUUGUUGGUGAGGUAGUGGCUCACCAAGGCGACGACGGGUAGCCGGCCUGAGAGGGUGACCGGCCACACUGGGACUGAGACACGGCCCAGACUCCUACGGGAGGCAGCAGUGGGGAAUAUUGCACAAUGGGCGAAAGCCUGAUGCAGCAACGCCGCGUGGGGGAUGACGGCCUUCGGGUUGUAAACCUCUUUUGGCAGGGAAGAAGCCGCAAGGUGACGGUACCUGCAGAAAAAGGACCGGCUAACUACGUGCCAGCCGCCGCGG
rnacentral:rRNA from 1 species